rnacentral:lncRNA from 1 species
GCCGGCACAAAUGGCUCUGCAUGCCACCUGUGUCAUGUGUGCCAUAGGUUUGCCAUCACGGAUCUAGGCACUUAAGGAAUGUACUGUUUUCUCCCUUUUUCUGGCAGCUAAAAAGACCAAAGGAGUAUCUUUUUAGUUGACAAAGCCUUCCCAUUAAGUCAUUUACUCCAAAUUCAGACCCUCGGCAGCUGAUUCCUUAUUUAUGAUGGUCGCAGGGUCCCCGAAAUUUCUGGGGUUAAGCAACACGGUCCUGAAGUGAGUUUUGCCCCAUUUUACGACCUUUCUGGUCACAAACUGUUGAUAAAUGAAUCCCUGCAGCAGUUUAAGUUAGUCACUUAACAAUCUGGCUUCCCCCAAUGGCUUUGCUGGUUCAGAAAGGUUACAAAAGGGGAUCACAAGACACACACACCCCUUCCAGGACACUGUGACCGUCAUAAAUGUGAGUCAGUUGCCAAGCAUCUGAAUUUGGAUCCCCUGACCCUGGAGAGGCUUCAACGGUCGCAAGUGUGAAAACUGGUCACAUGCCAAACUUUGAAGGGCCACGAAAUGAACAGUUGCAAGUUGAGGAUUGUCGGUAGUUUCCCAGCCAAGAGGGUUUCCCUGGUGGUGCCCCAUCCACUCCCACAAGCAGUCUGCUUUUGGAGAGCAGCCCAAACACCUGAAGCCGUGUGAGAGUUGUGGGAGGGGGAGAGAGGGGGAUGCAGGACAGGAAAGUAGGAACCCCCAGUUGGGGAGGGGGCACGUUUGAAAAAGCUUGGCCGCUUUUGCCUGCCGUUGCAGCCCCCUGAUGGCCCUGCGAGAGAGGAAAGCAGCACAGCAUGUGAAAAGGGGAGACAAUCGCUCUGACGAUGCGACGGCCAGAGCCGUGGAGGAAAUGAUGGCCCGGAUCAAGAGUGGGGUGGCCCUGCGGCCAGUGAGGAGUGGGGCCGAAUCCUGCCCCCAGAGUACCCCAAGGAGGCCACAUAGACGAUCCAGCCGACGUAAGGGCAGCCAGAAGAAAUUCCUGGUAGACAACCAACUCGAGAAACUCCUGCAGAGACGACGGCGUAUAGUUGACCAAGGCCUGGCCCUGCCAAAACUACCUGCCCCAGCUGCAGAUGGGGGGCUCCUGCCUCGUGUCCCCAGGGCCAGGGAGGAAGACCAGGCAGCAGUGGGGGUCCGGAGGAACUCCCAACCCAACAAGUCAAACUUCUCGGAGACCAGCAAAGAUCUACCAGGUGAACCAGGCAAGCUGACUGCAGGAGCCCCCGUGCAUCCCAGACUGAAGAUUGCUGAGGUGGCUUGGCUUUGACCCUGUCAGAGUAUUUACAGCCUCCCUAACAUGAUAAUAUGUGAUGUCUUCAUGUUUACUCCGGCUUCCAGUGUGAUUUCCUCCUCCCAUUAUGCUGACGGAGGCCAUGUUGCCUGUUUUCUCUCACAAGCCACUGACCACGAUUAAAUCACGUCACCCAACCCCUCUGGCUCUGGCUGCAAGUUCUCACUGGGUUUCUCUUCUCUCUCCAGUCGCUCUGGCCCUUCUCUUUGCGCUGGGCCCAUAACCUGUCAGAGUGUUUACAGCGGGAGACAACCCAGGAGCAAAACACAGGACACUGCG